rnacentral:tRNA from 1 species
AAGGUUUUAAGUUAACUAAACUAAUAGCCUUCAAAGCUAUAAAUAUAAGAAAUAUUACCUUUUAAACUUUA